CGGGCGAAGGCAGCUACCUGGAUGAAUACUGACACUGAGGCACGAAAGCGUGGGUAGCAAAAGGGAUUAGAUACCCCUGUAGUCCACGCCCUAAACGGUGCACACUCGGUCUUAGCGGAUUUGACCCCGCUAGGGCCUGAGCUAACGCGUUAAGUGUGCCGCCUGAGGACUACGGCCGCAAGGCUAAAACUCAAAGGAAUUGACGGGGCCCCGCACAAGCGGUGGAGUAUGUGGCUUAAUUCGAGGCGACGCGAAGAACCUUACCAGGGUUUGACAUGCAGGAGACCGGGGGUGAAAGCUCCCUUCGGUAGCAAUACCGCUGCUGCACAGGUGCUGCAUGGCUGUCGUCAGCUCGUGUCGUGAGAUGUUGCGUUAAGUCGCGCAACGAGCGCAACCCCUGUCUUUAGUUACCAGCACGUAAUGGUGGGGACUCUAAAGAGACAAACCUCCUCUGGAGGUGGGAAGGUGGGGAUGACGUCAAGUCAGCAUGGCCCUUACACCCUGGGCUGCACACGUACUACAAUGCCCGGUACAGAGCGUUCCAAGACCGCGAAGUGGAGGCAAUCGCCAAAAGCCGGGCCCAGUUCAGAUUGGAGUCUGCAACUCGACUCCAUGAAGCCGGAAUCGCUAGUAAUGGCAUAUCAGCAACGGUGCCGUGAAUACGUUCCCGGGGCUUGUACACACC
rnacentral:rRNA from 1 species